GAGACUUGUUUUACCACCCCUUCUAGGGGGAAAGGGGAUGAGAGCAAAAGAGGCUUUUCUGCCUUCCUAAAGGAUCCUACAAUCAGUAUCAGCAAGGCUUUGGCUCUUGCAACAGUUUUGUACCCAGUUUCUGCCACUAACCCAAAAAACUGCAUAUUUCCUGUUGUGCCUUUCCAGACUUAAUUUUAAGCCUGCCAAAGCAAUAGUUACUAAGUCAGUUUUGGUGCCCGUUGUCUCCUGUACCUCAUGGUGUGUUUGCCAACAGUCUUUGCAUUAUUUCCCCCAUUCCUUCAAAUUUAACAGCUCUUAGGGAUUUCUCUUAGGGAUUGUUUACUACUACUGUAUCGAAAUGGAAAUGUGUCAUGGUGCUAUUUCUGUCACAAUGUUUCUGCUGUCAGUACCAAGUCAAUCCAAAAGACUAGAAAAGAUGCUGUAAAUUUUAGUGUCUUCUGAUUUAUGGGCUCAUACUGCUGGAGUUUACUUACUUUUUACAUAAUUUCUUUAUUUCCUUGAGUAAGUUUUCAUCAGAGUGUGUAUGCAACUCAGCCACAGACUAUAGGAAGAAAACAAAACUCAUAUAAGUAAUCAGUUUCUCUUACAUUCUGAGAAAGAAAUAUAAACGUGGUUUUCAUUUUUUCCCCCAAAUAUCUGGAAGAUGCAUUUGCAGUGCCACAGAAAUGUUCUUGUCUAGAAACCUCAGGGUACAGUGUAAGUGAUGAAACAAGGGCUGAAUGACAGACACACAAACUCACCAGAUGGACACAUUCCUUGUGUCCUUUAUGAAAAGAAAGAAUAAACCCACAUCCAUAUCUCCUGAGCUCAGUGCUUGUCAGAAACUAACCUACUUUUAUUAGGCUCUACUGGGCUUUCUGCUGGGUCCAGGCAGGUACCCUGUGGUGAUGAGUACUGGUCCUUGAAGAAUAGUGCAGAUAUGAGCACAUUUCUGUAACUGCAGAAAUAGCUUAUUACAAUACCAGCUAAAUUGCUUAAUCCUGAAUCCAGUUUUUGGGCUGUUAAGAAGCCAGUGUUUCAGGCAGAGCAGUAGGAUGUGUCAUCACCCUUUUCCAUUUUGCAGUGAUUUGUGAUGUGUAUAAUCUCUGCUGCCACUGCCACUAAGGAAUACUGCAGUUUUUGAGGCAUUAAAUUAGGAAAGAGCAUGUUUUUAUUUGGGAGGUGCACUAGUUUGUUACCAACCCACGCAUACUAAUAACUUUGUUCCUCUGAUAUAGGUACCUAAAAAGCACACCUUUCAAAUAGGUGUAGCUGUAAAUAUGCUGUUACCAACUGGCAGUGUCUGGUUUAGUGAGAAAAUAAAGCUAUUCAGUGCUCUUUUUUCUGAACUAAUUUAAUUUAUGCCUGCUAAACUCCAGUUAACCUUUUAAUAUAGGUUUCAUAGUCAUAAGAAAAGCUUUAGCACCUUUGGGGAAUUUUUCUGGCGCUAGUUUAGACUUAGAACCAGGCACAAAAUUAUCUCAUAUUGGAAAAAGGCUAUAACUUUUUUGUAAGAUCCCCUUCCUUAGAGUUGUCUCAAGAGUAUUUCUGUUUCCAUAUCAACAAUGUACCACAGUAGUGCUUGUUUUAUAAUAGUAAAUCCUUAGAAUUUUAAUAAUUUACCUAAUUUGUUGGCUCUUUCUUUUGUCCUCUGAUGUGCCUUGGCCAAGAGCUGAUAUUUGAAAUAUUGAUUAUUUCUUCAUCUGUGAAGUUGUGCAUUCAGCUCAGCACUUAAUUGGUGUGAGGCUGGGUUUUUUGUGCUUGGCACAUGGACAAUGUGUUUAAAAAUAUGUCAACUUCUCAAAAUUAAAAGUUUAAUGCCAGGGUUGAGUGAAGUGAUAAUUGUUUAACAUUUUCCUCUCCUGGUUACCUUUGAAAUCUGAAUAACCUGAGUGCUUCCUGAAAUUAGCAUGAUUUUUUCAGUUCUAAACUUGUUAGCUGCUUCCUAAUUAAUUUAGUACUUGUAUUUCUUACAGUUUUUAUUUAUAGGAGCAUUUAGUAUCUGCUUUAACAACUUUUCACCCUCCCUCAGAAUUCUCCUCUUCCCCUCUCAUCCUUUUGCAAAAGAAUUUUAGGUAUGUCAAAAUUAUGCCACAUCUGCAGCACCAGCAAAGAUAACUAGGCAGGGAUUCAAGAGAGAUCAAAUAAAUUGCACUAAGCCGAUGUAUUGCUGUGUUUUCUUUGCUGGAGAAAGUUAGGCUAUCAUGCCCAACCCACUCCUGAAUUUCACAUCAUCUUCUCACACAAGCAGACUCUUCCCUAGGAGAGUGUGUUUAUUGUAGUUGUUUAAAUGCCCAAAAUAAAGCACUUAAAACUCCAAUUUUGUUCAAAAAUCUCAGAUGGAACUAAUUUUUGAGGUUGGCUUUUUAAAAAAAAUAAAUUUGAGGCUGUCCUUUGUAUCCAACCCCUCAGUCCUGUUAAUUUGAAAUUGUGGAGCAACUGUCAAAUAUACAGGGGGGCAGGGGACCCCAGAUCAAACAGCAGACAUGGAAUAUGCUGCCCUUUCACUUCUUUCAAAGUUCCCUCACUGUCUGACCCUUGCUUAUCUCAAAUGCUCAAGAAUUGUAAGGCAAGUAAAAUACUUGUAAAAUACAAGUAAAAAACUCUGAUGCAGGAGUCCUGAAUCUUUUAUCAUGCUUUCAUUGUUCCUUGAGUUGCUUUCUCAGGGAGCACUUGUAAUUUGUUCACACUGUUUAUGGGGGACUGAAACUUCCUUUCUCAGCUCCAGCAAUUUCAGGAACAGAAAUGAUUGGAAAGAUGCUGGGCUUGUGAUAAAAGCAUUAGAGUCAGAGUCAAUCCAGGAAAUAACAUCUGUAGAUGCUGGAGCUGACCUUCCUCUUGAUCUGCUACAAUGCCCUUUAGGAUGCAUCUCAUGUAGCCCAUGGAGCUCUCCCUGUGCUGGUAGAGGCUCAGGCCUGCUUGUGCACAAAACCCUAUGAGGCAGAUAAGCUAGGAAAAAUUAAAAUAUGCUGGUGUUACUUGACAUUAGAUAUGGUUUACUUCUUAUCCAUUUCAAUGCAGGCUACUCAUUUCAUUAGCUGGAAAGCAACCUUCCUUUAAAGUAGGUUGGUGAUGGGGGGUUUUGUAUAUCACUUCAUCCCUGCUUUACUGCAGUACACAAGGACGCUGGUGAAAAAAAAAAAAAGCAGUCCUUCAGUGAGUACUAGAAACAACCAGCUCUCUCUUUUUGGUGUAAAUAGUUGAGGGUAGAGAGAAGCAAGCUCAUUUUUAAUAUGUGUUUAGAUUGAAAGUGAGUUGCAGUGGAGCCUAGCUAACACCCCAAGCAAUUAUACUUCCAAAUUUUGCCCUUUGGGGACAGAAGAAGGCUGUCAAAUGCUGGGCUCCCUGUAAAUCAAAAAAGUCUUUUGAGUUCUCUUCAUUUUUAAAAGGGUCACUUACUGAGAGCAAACAACUCUAGUAAAUGAAUAGUAGUUGAUGCUCAAAACUUGCCAGGUUUCAGAGCUGUGUAAUGGUGUUUGGGAGAUGGAUACACAGCUUUCUACAUCAUGUUUGUGGGGAGCUUCAUAGGGGGGCGAGCUGAAAUGACAACAUUUUCAUUACAUCCUUUUUCUGUAAUUGACAGAUUAGGUGUAGGGUUCAGUUAUCCACAGAUCUUUCCCUCAUGGUCUGGGACUGCAGUAGCGCUGAGGGGAAACAGAUAACCAGUGGUUACCUUCUGUAUGGAGCUGUGGACAGGGAUUAUCUUAAAAGAUUUGUGUGAGUGCUGUUUGGAUUUAUUACAAUGAAACUGGAACCCUCCCCCUUUUAGGGAAAUGCAGGGAAUUAAAAGGGUUCUCAGAGACAGAGCAGGUCUGCAUGGAAGAGCAGUGAUUCUACAGGUUUGUCUAGUGUCAGACAACUCGAAGUUGAGCCAGAGGUCAGUGCCACAGCAGUUCAUGAAAGACUUGAAAUUAUUUACUUAGACAUAGCAAAUGAUUGAGCUCUUUGAUUUAAAGACCACAAAAUACUUUCCUCCCUAUUCAUUUGCAUUAAUUAAACAGAAUUUAGUUCUUUAAUUCAUCUAUUAUUCUGGUGCCUGCUGACCUGGUCAAGACUGAGAUUUCUGCCCUAUCUAUCCUGUUCCAACCUAAAAAUCUCUUACUGUCUGCCAUUUUGUCAUCUGUCUCCUGCCUUGCAGAUCUUGGAGAAGUAUACCACAAGAGGAUAUAAGACAGCAUUUUGCAUUUACCCUGCUGUGAAACUGUGUGUUGUUUCCUACUACUUGCAUUAUCCCUACAUGGAUCAUGACGGUGUGCACUAAGUGCAUCAGCAUUUAGGGAGAGAGACUCCAGUGAGCACAGCCUGCCUCCUGGCUCCAGCUGGGACUCAGAUAAAACACACAGAUUCUCACAAGCUCACACCUAAAGUGGUGUCAGCAAGUCCCAUGGCUGAAAGCCUGGGCACGGGUGAUGCUCCCACCUACAGAUGUCAGGUGGGCCUGUCAGCAGCAGUGUCAGGAGCAGGAAGCAGCUCUUCCUCUCCUCUUCACAGAGAUCUGGGGAGUUGAUGUGCCAAAAGCUUUGUGUAAGACAAGUCUGCUGCCUUUAGGAAAACAAGCAUGUGAACUCUCCUGUAUGUAAUAUUAGAUCUCAUUGUCAAAAGAGGUUGUGAUCAAUCUCUUUGAAGGAAGGAAAGCAAAUCCUGGUGCCCCUUGUAAACUUCAGUGGUAGUGCUUCUCACAGUAUUUUUCCUUCCUUAUUCCCUGAUUUCUAGUUCCUUAAAGGAGUGGUGUUGGUCCUUUGAGCAGCUGAUAUGUCAAAAGCAUUCAGGGGGAAACUACAGGAAGCUGGCAGUGACUCAGAAAAAUGAAGCAAAUCUGCAGGGAAUCUCUUGGCUGAUUCAGUGGCUUUCUAACAUCUUUCCCUUCCAGCUGGACCUGCCUCCUGGUAGCAAAGGCCCUGUCUAGGCUGAAGACAUCAGAGACAGCACACUGAUCUCUUUAAUUUCUGAGGAUUAAUGAGGUUUUACUGCUUAAGUAAACACCUAAAAACACCUACUGCUUAAACAUCUAAAUUAAUGCUGAGAAGCUUUGCUCACAUUUUUCUAUCUUUUUCCAUCCUCCAUCAUCUCUCAGUUAUGACUCACUGGCAGGAGUCCUAAAUAAUGUAGUGUUUUUAAAAUAACUCUGACAAAAUUGAACUGUAUAGCAUAAGAUCACUUGUGAAGGAGGAGCUGUGGCAGAUGUAACAGUGCUGAGGCACUGUUGUUGUUUGGGUAUAUUUCAAAGUUUUAAAUAGGAUUAUUAUGGCUAAUGGGAAAAUAAUCUUUAUCCUUCCAGAACAUUAGAGAUUUUUUAUGCCAUAGAGAAAUACUCUAUGGGCAAAUACAAGGUUCUUGUAGUCUAAAUAGUCGAGCUUUGAAGCUUAUGCAGACUGAGGAUUUUCUCUUACUAGCAAAACACACUGUUCAUUCUGCUGCAACAUUGUUAAGGCCAAAGGCUGAGGCAUUCAUAAAAACUACUGAUUGAAGUGCCUUGAUUUAUUGGUGUUCCACAUGGGACACUUUAAAUGCACCUUUAUUGUUAGAAUAAUGCUCUUCACAAUGUUUCACACCUGGAGCAACAUAAAUUUGAGGUUCCCAGCAUGCUGGCCAUUCUUGAAAAUGUUUGGAAUAUUGAUGGAUGAACAAAUAGUAUAUACCUAGGUAAGAAGGUCUGUGACUUCUUGGUGCUAUAGCAUUAAGAGAGAAAAAAAAAAAGAAUAUAGGCAUUAUAGUUAAAUAAACUGCCAUAUUCUGACAGGAUAAUGCUGGCAUCUCAUUUUUAGGGCAGGCUAAAAUAUUUUUCUCCUGUAACAAUCUUGGGUUAAAUUUAAAAAAAAAAAAUCCUCUCAAACAAGCUUCUGUUACCCCAAGAACCCUUAAAAAUUCAGAAGGUAGCAUUAUGGGAAAUACUCCUUUUACACUGACCACUGCCUCCUCCUUUGUCCCUGGUGUAUGUGCAGCACUUUCUGCUAUUUGAAGUGGGGAGAGGUGUUUUGAUGUGGUUGCCUGCCUCAGUUCAGGACAUAGGAAUAUUUUUUGCUGCAGAGGAUGGUCCUCCUGGUGUGUGGAGCAGAGCAAGGUCAUCUGGAGCAGCCUAAGGAAGAGAAUAAAUCAAUGAACCAAGCAAAGGCAGUUGCUAGUAACUAGCUAAGAAUAGUCAGGCUCAGGUAUGCAAUGUUUGCUGUCAGCAAACAGAGCUUGAAAUCCUCAAGCCAAAUGGUGAAUUUCUGAGCUCAGGACAGGCUUGGAGGAAGCGGAGUUGUUAUCGGAUCUCGGGAUGCUGUGGUCUGAGUGAAGGUCAGCUUCAAACAGUGUUUGCUGACAAUGCAAUAGAUGAGUUGCUGUGUGAGCUGGCUUUAAUGGACUUGAAUGAAAUAAGAAACGUUGGACCCUGAGUGUUGUUAAAGGGUUUUGUAUGAAGCCAUUAUCUCUUGGUUUUGUAGCCUCACUGGUUUUGCCUGGGAGAUGGCAGAAAACCUUGUGGAGCUCUUUCUGACCCAGCUGGUGGGUAAGAAGAGACCUGAGUGACUGACUGCAAUGUUUCUAGCCCAGUGAGUAGCCUGAAAAGAACUGGAUUAUUCAAAUGCACUAUUAAAACCCUAUAGAUACUUAGGGAAGAAAGUAGCAUAUGUGAGGUUUCUUCAGUGCUUUGUCUGAUUUUAGAUUCAUGUAUUGCUCUUUAGUUUAACUGGCUGCUGUGUUUAGGUAACGCUGCCUUGACGUACUUGCUUUCAGAUUUUGGUAGCAUGCACUGGACCACAGCUUGAUCCAGCUCAGUAGAAAAGUAAAAUAAAAUAUUCCUGACCUGUUACAGAGAAAGUCCCAGAUUGCUCCUAGCUGUGCUUGCUCCCAUGGGACACUCCACUGUUUGUCCCUUUAGCAUUCAAGCUCUGGUGGCUGUCCUUGCCAUUCCUCACCCAUACCCUGACCCCUCCUGCUUUGGCAGCUCUUCUUUGCCCACAGGGGAGGGUGACUGGACUGCCUCCUGCCUCACGCCCCUCCUGUCCCCAGGGCUCUGUUCAGCUGUAGCAUCUCAGUGCUGUGCAACACUGCAAGGAAGAUGUGCAGGUCUCCAUCUGAGCUGAGGGUUGGUGCUUACAGCCAAGCAGCUGCACAGCAUCCUCCUGUGAGCAAUUACUACUACUCUUAGCUUUUGAGCAAGCUACUACUGCUCUGAUUCACCUCGGUGGUGUUCUGGGGAUUUCCCCUUUGGCAGGGAGGAACUCCCAAUAUAAAUGAGCUUUGGCUGCAAUAAAGAAAAAAAAUGCAGUUGAUAAAGAAUAUUAUCUCCUCAAACUGUAAUUUAGGCUUGCUCUUGUGCCAGCAAUCUUCUGUGUGGCCUUAUGACAGGGGCUUCUGGGCAUCAACUUCCCCUUGCACUAAUGGUCUGGUUUUGUCACAGGAAUAUUGCCAGGAUAAAGGCAGCUGAGGUCACAAAGCAUUCUGGUGGCAUGAAACACUUCACGGUCUUGAUUGAGUGCAUCUGAUAAACAGGAUGUCUAAGUCACCUAACUCCCAUCACAGGACACCUCACUUUCACCUUGAUAAAGUUGAUUUUCUUAGCUUGCCUGGAAAUUAUAUUGAUAUGGUAAAGCAGAAAGCAAAACCAACCCCCAAAGUCCGGUGCAUAGAGACAAGAAAGGUUAUUUUUAACAGUGUGGGAAGUGCUGUACUCACAAGGCUAAUGCUACCCACGGGAUGUGCCUUGCGUUUUGCUUAACAGAAGCAGAGCCCUCUCAAGUUACGGAGCUGCAGGGGAAUAGCAAGCUGGUGUGCUAAUAAUUCCCAUGUUACUAUUUUUAAAGUUCUGCCUGCGUUGUCUGUAGUACUGUUACCCAGCAGUGCCUCCCAAUGCCAGGUUAUUUCAGGCAAAGUUGGUGUUUGCACUUAAAUCUGUAUUAAUUUACUUGCUUUUUGUUUGCUUCCCUUCCCCUCACUAUGGUCU
ensembl:lncRNA